CCGUGCUAGACGGGGAGGUAGCGGUGCCCUGAACCUGCAACCCGCUAUAGCAGGGUGGAAUUCCCGAGCCAGGCGGACGCGGGUGGGUUGGCGUCCCGGCAACGGGCGAUGACGGUCGGCCCCUAUGCGACGGAAAGCGGCGAACCCCGUGAGGACCGGAAGGUAGCAGCGGUAACCCGUGGCAUUCCGGGCGCCGUAGGUGUGCUGGCCCGAGCCCGGACCCGGUGCACGCGGCUCACCGGUUUCCGUCGAACGAGGGUGCACGG
rnacentral:SRP_RNA from 1 species